UUCUCGUUCUUAAAUCUUUCACUCUAUUAUAGGCAAUUCUCAGCUUCUUGUUUGAGCUUCCCAACUGAUUUUGUCUUCUUGACAACCUCUUCCUCAAUAAGAAACCUAACACCUUGGUAAAUUCGGACACUCUGUAUACAAUAUAGGAUUAAUCAAGUUCAACUAUAUCCUAACAAACAAUUUAUCACACAAUCAUGGCUAUAUAUGUACUUCUCUUCAGUAUAUUUUAUAUCUAAUUAUGGAUGCAAGUAUGGGCUGUUGAGCGACGCACCAACCCAUCUAGUUAAGUGAUAUUUGCGUAAAGUGAAUGAACUUCUAGUGAAAUCUCAUUGUUAAAGGAAAUGGGUAGCACAUCAGCCCACUUGCACCUAGACAUACAUUGACAAGUACUCAGAGAAUAUCACAGAACUAUGAACAGCAGAGGUAAGAGCAAAGGGGCGUACACUCAAACAUAUAUCUUUACAGAAAACUGCAGUUUUUCAACAAGAUUUUUUAGUAACGGGGCAUCCAACCGAACCACACCACCCUUUUUUCCUGCAAACAUAAGUAAAAUGAACCUCAAGAGCAAAUCACUAGCGGACUGCAUUUGCACUUCCACUUAUCUUCAGAAAAAACACAAAAUAGAGAACUGCAGCACACGACGGCAUGAAC
rnacentral:lncRNA from 1 species